rnacentral:tRNA from 1 species
AGAAACUUAGGUUAGGAUUAGACCGAGAGCCUUCAAAGCUCUAAGUGAGGGUGAAAAUCCCCCAGCUUCUG